rnacentral:lncRNA from 1 species
CCCUGCCAAGCCUCACCCAACCCCGGGUGAGGAGUACGAAAAACUCUAGGAGCCCCUAUCCUACAACCAUGAUACUAGACCUCCAGACAUUCCAAUCAAGGGUCAUGUCCUCAGAAACACGAAUCCUAGCCAUGUCAUGUCUAAUCACCUCUCCCUAAUACUUCUUAGGCCUCCCUCUGCCUCGCCGAACGCCGACAAUCGCCAACCGCUCACAACUCCUCACCGGGG